GACGAACGCUGGCGGCGUGCUUAACACAUGCAAGUCGAACGGUGAAGCGCCUUCCUUGUUGGUGGGUGUGGAUGAGUGGCGAACGGGUGAGUAACACGUGAGUAACCUGCCCCCUUCUUCUGGAUAACCGCAUGAAAGUGUGGCUAAUACGGGAUAUUCUGGUUCUGUCGCAUGAUGGGUCUGGGUAGGAUAUUGUUUCGGUGGGGGAUGGGCUCGCGGCCUAUCAGCUUGUUGGUGGGGUGAUGGCCUACCAAGGCGGUGACGGGUAGCCGGCCUGAGGGGGUGGACGGUCACACUGGGAGUGAGACACGGCCCGGACUCCUACGGGGGGCAGCAGUGGGGGGGAUGGCACAAUGGGCGAAAGCCUGAUGCAGCGGCGCCGCGUGAGCGAUGGAGGCCCUCGGGUUGUGAACCUCUUUCGCCAGUGAAGCAGGCCUGCCUCGUUUGUGGGUGGGUUGACGGUAGCUGGAUAAGAAGCGCCGGCUAACUACGUG
rnacentral:rRNA from 1 species